GUUUCUGUAGUGUAGUGGUUAUCACGUUAGCUUUACACGUGAAAGGUCCUCAGUUUGAAACCGGGAGGAAACA
rfam:Salmo salar isolate Sally breed double haploid chromosome ssa05, whole genome shotgun sequence.